AUGAACGCUGGCGGCGUGCCUAAUACAUGCAAGUCGAGCGAAUGGAUUGAGAGCUUGCUCUCAAGAAGUUAGCGGCGGACGGGUGAGUAACACGUGGGUAACCUGCCCAUAAGACUGGGAUAACUCCGGGAAACCGGGGCUAAUACCGGAUAACAUUUUGAACUGCAUGGUUCGAAAUUGAAAGGCGGCUUCGGCUGUCACUUAUGGAUGGACCCGCGUCGCAUUAGCUAGUUGGUGAGGUAACGGCUCACCAAGGCAACGAUGCGUAGCCGACCUGAGAGGGUGAUCGGCCACACUGGGACUGAGACACGGCCCAGACUCCUACGGGAGGCAGCAGUAGGGAAUCUUCCGCAAUGGACGAAAGUCUGACGGAGCAACGCCGCGUGAGUGAUGAAGGCUUUCGGGUCGUAAAACUCUGUUGUUAGGGAAGAACAAGUGCUAGUUGAAUAAGCUGGCACCUUGACGGUACCUAACCAGAAAGCCACGGCUAACUACGUGCCAGCAGCCGCGGUAAUACGUAGGUGGCAAGCGUUAUCCGGAAUUAUUGGGCGUAAAGCGCGCGCAGGUGGUUUCUUAAGUCUGAUGUGAAAGCCCACGGCUCAACCGUGGAGGGUCAUUGGAAACUGGGAGACUUGAGUGCAGAAGAGGAAAGUGGAAUUCCAUGUGUAGCGGUGAAAUGCGUAGAGAUAUGGAGGAACACCAGUGGCGAAGGCGACUUUCUGGUCUGUAACUGACACUGAGGCGCGGAAGCGUGGGGAGCAAACAGGAUAGGAUACCCUGGGUAGUCCACGCCGUAACGAUGAGUGCUAAGUGUUAGAGGGUUUCCC
rnacentral:rRNA from 1 species